GGCCGCCGAGCGGCGGGGCGGGGUCGGGGCCGCCACGGCCGGGGGCCGGGGCGCUCGCUCCGAGCGUUGCCCCGAAGAGCGCAGCGGAGGACGCGAUGCCACGUGAGCUGAUUCACAAAGCUCUGUGCAUUAUGAAGACCACAGGAUGACUGGGAAUGGAGAACUCCAAAAAAUUUCCAGUACAAGAUGCUUCCCUAAGCACAACUUGAACAUACAGUUGCUUUCCUAGAAGAGCAGCUUCAGAGGAAAUAAUGGUCCCCUCCUGGUCCCGAGAGACAAAAGCUGUGAAUAGAAGCAGUGGUGGAAUUGCAUUGCAUCUCAUCUACUGUGGAGGAAAGACAAAGGAUUAAAUCUGUCUUCUGAUUGAAGCCUAUGACAGAGCUUCCAUCUGAGGUUGCUGUGCAUGAAAUCUUUCUCCUUUGAAGGAGCACAUCUGAAAUCUGUUAGGCAUUUUGGAAAGGUCAGGGUUUUUAAAGAUUAGCAAUGAAGAGAGAAAGAAUGAGAGUGAAAUGAAUAACGUAAAGAAAAGAGGAAGCUGGCAACAAAGUUCAGUUUAUUUCUGAAUUUGUUUAGGAAACUGGGGUUUUUUAUUUUUUUUUGAAAGCUAGUAUAGGCAUUCACCUGGCUUAGGCAUUUCUGUUAAAAUGAGAGUAAGAUUAUUUCUCCUUUUAUCUCCAUAACAUCAAACCAACAUCUAGAAUGGCUGUCACAAACAGUGUCUAUAGUACCACUGUGGCUAUUUACUUAAAACAAGUUUUGCAGAGAGGAACUAAAAUUUCCCCAUCAGUAGUACUUGUUAAAAUUUUUAGUGCACAUGUCUUGUGAUUACCAACCCCAUGCGUUGGUUAUCUAUGCUAUAAAUCUAAAAAUGAAAAAGAUGUAAAGCCUUUGGAAAAGGAGAGUAAAUGAGAACCACAAGUUGAGAUUGACAUCAGUUUAGACCAUGCUUAGUAUAUAUGCAAGAAGUCUGAUUUAUAACCCCAGUAUUGAAGUCUAGUCUCCAAACUCCUUAACAUCUAACAGCAUAACUCUUUUUUUUGGAUUUGGAUUUUUUUUUUGCUUUUCUUUUCCUUACCACAGUAAAACAAAACCAUAGCGUAGGUUUAUUGGGAUGUGGAAUUUCAAGGGGUUUAUUAAGUUAGGAAAGCAUGACUUCCUUUAUUAAGCCAAUUAAACUCCUUGUUAAUAUAAUAUCUCCUUUACAAGUCUCUAAGGAGUAGUCAACUGUUCUAAAGCAUGUUCUGGAUGAACAAGACAGUUGGAGAAAACUCAGCAGGUGAAGUUGUGAAGGGCUGCACUGCUGGAGAAUCCCCUGUGUCAUAGGAGGCCUCUUGCUUCCAAAUUUCCAUGGGAAGACUUUUUUUU